CCGAGGCCCCCGUUGAUGCGGCAGAGCUCCCCCAACGCUGCCGCCACCGCCUCCGCCUCAGACAUGGACAGGAACAGCGGCACCAGCAGCUCCUCCGCCUCUUCCUGCAGCAGCAAAGGGCAACAGCCGCCCCGCUUCGUCUCGGCGGGGCCAGCCGGGGAAUCUAAACCUAAGAGCGGUAGCAGAGGCUCAGCGGGCAGAGUUUAGCCCUGCCCAGUUCUCUGGAGGGAAGAUCAACCUGAACCACUUGUUGAAUUUUACUUUUGAACCCCGUGGCCAGACAGAUCACUUUGAAGGCAGUGGACAUGGCAGCUGGGGCAAAAGGAACAAGUGGGGACAUAAGCCUUUUAAUAAGGAACUGUAUUUACAGGCCAACUGCCAGUUUGUGGUAUCUGAAGACCAAGACUACACAGCUCAUUUUGCUGAUCCCGAUACUUUAGUCAAUUGGGACUUUGUGGAGCAAGUGCGCAUAUGUAGCCAGGAAGUGCCAUCUUGCCCAAUAUGCCUCUAUCCACCUACUGCAGCCAAGAUAACCCAUUGCGGACACAUCUUCUGCUGGGCCCGCAUCCUGCACUAGCUUUCACUGAGUGAGAAGAUCUGGAGUAAAUGUCCCACCUGUUAUAGUUCUGUGCAUAAGAAGGAUCUCAAGAGUGCUGUUGCCACAGAGUAACGUCAGUAUGUUGUUGGUAAUACCAUUACAAUGCAGCUGAUGAAGAGGGAGAAAGAGGUGUUGCUGGCUUUGCCCAAAUCCAAAUGGAUGGACGUAGACCAUCCCAUUCGUCUAGGAGAUGACAGCACAGCCAGUACUCCAAGUUAUUGCUGGCCUCCAAGGAGCAGGUGCUGCACCGGGUAGUUCUGGAAUAGAAAGUAGCACUAGAACAACAGCUGGCAGAGGAGAAGCAUACUCCCGAGUCCUGUUUUAUUGAGGCAGCUAUCCAAGAGCUCAAGACUCGGGAGGAGGCUCUAUCAGGAUUGGCUGAAAGCAGUGGGGAGGUCACUGGUGUCAUGGCUGCUCUAGAACAACUGGUGCUGAUGGCUCCCUUGGUGAAGGAGUCUGUUUUUCAACCCAGGAAGUGUGUGCUAGAGUAUCCGUCUGCUUUUGAUGAAUAAACCACAGCAGUUUGUUCUCUGGACUCCCCUUCUCUCCUCUUGCUCUCCCUCUGGUAGUGGAAGAAGAGGCAGUGUCUGAGCCAGAGCCCGAGGGGUUGUCAGAGGGUUGUGAUUACUCGGAAUUAACAGAUGACAACUUAGGGAAGGGACCAUUUGUAUUGUGUCCAGCCAGCGGGAACCUGUCACCAAGCCAGGCUUCACAAAACACCUGAGAAAUUCUCCUUGUUACUACUUGUACCAAGCAGAAGAUGGGCAACGCAUGUUCCUGCACCCUGGGAAUGUGCGCUGCCUCGUGUGGGAGUAUGGCAGCCCGGAGCGGAGCCCUGAGAGGAUAUCAGCUACAGUGGUGGAGAUUGCUGGGUACCCCAUGUCUGAGGAUGUUCGACAGCGUCAUAGAUAUCUCUCUCACUUGCCGCUCACCUGGGAGUUCAGUAUCUGUGAACUGGCUCUCCAGCCUCCUGUGGUCUCAAAGGAAACCCUAGAAAUAUUCUCAGAUGACAUUGAGAAGAGAAAACGUCAGCGCCAAAAGAAGGCGCGAGAGGAACGCCGUGGAGAGCGCAGGAUAGAGAUGGAAGAGAAUGAACAGGGCAAGUAUCCGGAAGUCCACAUUCCCCUAGAGAACUUACAGCAGUUUCCUGCCUUCAAUUCCUAUACUUGCUCCUCUGAUUCUGCUUUGGGUUCCACCAGCACUGAGGGCCAUGGAGCCCUCUCUCUUUCUCCUCUUAGCAGAAGUCCAGGUUCCCAUGCAGAUUUUCUGCUGACCUCUCUGUCACCCACAGCUGUUCAGGGCAGUCCCUCAUUCUGCGUUGUGAGUCUGGAAGAAGAUUCUCCCUUCCCUUCCUUUGCUCAGAUGCUGAGGGUUGGAAAAGCAAAAGCAGAAGUGUGUCCCAAAACUUCUCCAAAGAAAGAUGAGAACAGCCUAGUUCCUCCUGCCCCGGUGGACAGUGAUGGGGAGAGUGAUAACUCAGACCGUGUUCCUGUGCACAGUUUCCAAAAUUCCUUCAGCCAAGCUAUUGAAGCUGUCUUCAUGAAACUGGACACACCAGCUUCUUCAGAUCCCCUCUCUGAAGAGAAAGGAGGGAAGAAAAGAAAAAAAAAAAAAAAAAACAGAAACAGAAACAGAAGCUCCUGUUCAGUACUUCAGUUGUCUACACCAAGUGACUCUACUGGCCCAGGCUACCUUCUCCAUCUGGAUUUCUUUCUUCUGUGCUUUUGUUUGGCUGCUGUAAUUUUUAAGUAUUUGAGUUUGAACAGAUUAGCACUGGGGGGGAGGGGGUUUCUACAUUGUGAGGGGGAACCAAGAAAAUUUUAAAUACAGUGUAUUUUUCAGCUUCCCGUCUUUACACCAAAAUAAAGUAUUGACAC